UUCUGUGAAAGUCCGCAUUUAAGUGUCCUGUUCUCUGUCAAACAUUCUUCCCAGGCCUGGUAUGCUGUCUGUCUCCAGGCUUCCAUGCCAUUAUGUGUACACAUUAUCUGCCAUAAGGCUUACUUUGUUGCACGGCAAUGGAAGUUUUUCCUCCCUCUCUCUUCUUCAUUAGACAAGAACAGGGUCUUGAAGAGUAGAGACUGUCUUCUCAAGUUCGGACUACUGGCAUAGGUAGGUGCUCAGAACUUGGCAUCAGGAAGAUGCUCAUUAAAUAUUUGAAGAAGAAAUAAGUAAAUGAAUGGACUAACUGAAUUUGAAGGCAGUGCUAUGGCAGCUUUUUCUUAUUUUAUGAAUGGAAAAACUGUGGCAUAGAACAAUUUGGAAUCUGAUAAUUUUACAAAUUAGUAGGAGUGCUGGAAAACAGUAAAAUCUUCAGUCUUGCUCUUUGAGCUGUUGCCCAGAUCCCUCUCUGGGACUGCACUACCAGCCCUAAAAAACACCUGGGGCUGAUACCCUCACAUUCACAGCAAACGGCAGACAUCACCACAGAAGCACAGGCCUUCAGCUGGUGUCUGCAGUCUACUUGUAGUUUGAUUUUAGUAACAUCUGCUAAGUUGAGGCUGGGAAGCAGCUGGUGAACAAAGGGUGGACACACUUUUCCGAAUCUAGGGGGAGACAAGGUUAGGGCCAUGCUAAAUGAAGCUGAUAGGAUGGGUGGGCCAGGCAAGGGAACAGGCAAAAAUAUCCUUGGUUCCCUUAAACUUGGGCUAGAAAAAACAAAGACAUGGCUCAAGGAGAACCACAAGGUGUCACUGUUGAUCCUCAGUUAAACAAAAACUGAUUUGGGCAGGGACUUGAGAAACACUGCAAAGAUCUUUAUUUUGCAGAUGAAGAAACAGAGGCCUGGGGAGGUAACAUGAUUUGACUAAGAUCAUGUAACAAGUUAAUGGCAGAACAAUUAUGAGAAACCAAGUCUCUUAACUGAUUUCAGACUGGCAGGACCACUUUCUCCCAUUGCUCCUAUGAUGGCAUUUUGAGAUGAGGAUUAAGCCAUCGCUGCAAUCAUUCCCUCAAGACAAUGGCUUUCAAUUAGAAAUAGAACAGAAAAAAAAAUAGAGAAGAAAAGAAUGAAAAAAGCUCAGCAUUCACUCUCACAUGUGCCUUAUUCAAAGUGCUGGGCUAAGGUACCAGUGCCUAUAAUGAGAGAGUGGCCCACAGGGCCUCCAUCUGUGGCAGGCUUGAAUACCCGAAUAGAAAAGUAUCAGGUAAAGGAUUUCAUUCUUUUUAUGACUCCAACUUACAAAGAGUCUGGUUCCCAAGGAAAACAGUAAGCCAAGUUGCUCAGCAAAGAAUUGGCUGAAAUCUAAGUAGGACCCAGAUAAAAACAUUUGUUGGUUGGAAGGAUGUGGGCAAAUUUCUGGGCCCCGCUGCUUGGGGAUGGGAAGCUAUGGGGCAGAAGACCCUUUGUGAACCAGUGACCCGUAGACCAGGCAUUUGUGUGGAUGUCUGGAAACUGCGAGGCAGCGGAGGAGUCAUAAAUUAGUUGGCUUUUUAACUCCAACUAACUUUACUCCACCAAGUGUCUCAAGAGGUUUCUCCUAUGCUGUUUGGCCUGACUCCCACUAGGCCCUUACUCCUUCCAUGGUGGCUUCUAGGGGAGCCUCUUUCUUAGUUCCCAGGUUAUCAUUUAAAAAAUAAUAAUUUCAAUUGCUUUCUUAGGUAAUAUGUGCUCAUUACAAAAAUUCAGAUAUCAAG
rnacentral:lncRNA from 1 species